rnacentral:rRNA from 1 species
AACGAACGCUGGCGGCAGGCCUAACACAUGCCAGUCGAGCGAGAUCUUCGGGUCUAGCGGCGGACGGGUGAGUAACGCGUGGGAAUAUGCCUCUUGGUACGGAAUAGCCUCGUGAAACUGGGAUUAAUACCGUAUGUGCCCUUUGGGGGAAAGAUUUAUCGCCAAGAGAUUAGCCCGCGUUGGAUUAGGUAGUUGGUGGGGUAAUGGCCUACCAAGCCGACGAUCCAUAGCUGGUUUGAGAGGAUGAUCAUCCACACUGGGACUGCGACACGGCCCAGACUCCGAUGGGAGGCAGCAGUGGGGAAUCUUAGACAAUGGGGGCAACCCUGAUCUAGCCAUGCCGCGUGAGUGAUGAAGGCCUUAGGGUUGUAAAGCUCUUUGAGCUGGGAAGAUAAUGACGGUACCAGCAGAAGAAGCCCCGGCUAACUACGUG